GCGGCCGUAGCGCGGUGGUCCCACCUGACCCCAUGCCGAACUCAGAAGUGAAACGCCGUAGCGCCGAUGGUAGUGUGGGGUCUCCCCAUGCGAGAGUAGGGAACUGC
rnacentral:rRNA from 2 species